rnacentral:rRNA from 1 species
AGUUGCUGGUCCUUUAGGGGACAAACCCGUGCACGUCUUUCCUGUCCAUUGCUUUCACCCCUGUGCACCACUUGUAGGCUGAGAAAUCAGUCUAUGUCUUUUUAUCACCCACACUUUUUAUAUCUUGAAUGUACAUCUGCUUGAAAUAUAGCAACAAAAAUCAUACAACUUUCAACAACGGAUCUCUUGGCUCUCGCAUCGAUGAAGAACGCAGCGAAAUGCGAUAAGUAAUGUGAAUUGCAGAAUUCAGUGAAUCAUCGAAUCUUUGAACGCACCUUGCGCUCCUUGGAAUUCCGAGGAGCAUGCCUGUUUGAGUGUCAUGAAACCUCUCAAAUCUCAUUGAUUGACUAGUCGUUGAGGUUUGGAUUGUGGAGUGUGCUGGAAAAGUGAGAAUCUCUCUUGCCGGCUCCUCUGAAAUGCAUCAGCAAAAGCCUUCACCACAGAAAGAUCGCUUAGCUAUUGGUUUGAUAAUCUUUUGUCUAUGCCAUGGUUAUUUGCAUCCUUGUCGGUGUAAGAUUUGCUUACAAUCUUAUUUCUGAUAUUUUGACCUCAAAUCAGGUAGG